GGGGGUGCACUGGAUUCGAUGGAAGACCUGAAGCGAUGGAUGCAUACCGGGAAGCUUGUAACCCGUAAACUGCAGGCAAGCUUUAAUUGCGAACAAUGAACUCGCAAUGGCAGCCUAGUUAACCACUAGUCCACUGCCCGUUCGCUCGCGUAUCGCCUGUGUACGCGAAACGAGCGUCGACUCAGCAGGCUAGCGAUCCGGCGCAGGUCAGAGCUGGAAAGCGAAACUCUUCUGGCAUAGCUUUGGAGCGGUUCUUCGUCGCUUCUGCUGCCGUUUCAAAGCGAAUCACAAGCGAAGCGGCUAAGUAUGUAGAUUCCCUCGUAGACGGCUGCCACACGAGAGUUCGAUUCUCUCCACCUCCACUG
rnacentral:tmRNA from 1 species